CCCAUCCACCCUGACCCAUCACACACAAAACAAGUUUGAGAGUUAAACCCGACUGCGUGGCUCCUUCUCCUCCGUCUCCUUAAAUCGAAAAUCCACCUCAAUUCAUAGCUUUAUAAAUUCUCCCACUGCUCAAUCCCUAGAUUUUUAGGGUUUCCAAUUUAUUCUGUCACACCAUCCAAUCCCUAUCUUUCUAGGGUUUUUGAUCUAUUCCUCUUUCUCGUAUUUUUUUUCUGACCAGAAUUAAUGGCUUCCAUCCGGAGACCCUAUAUCAGUGGCGUCAUAGUUUCAGAGAUUAGUUAGCGGAGUUGGUGGUUAGGAUAAGGGUUUCAUGAGUGAUCUGAAUGCAGAUCUGGAUUUGUUGAAGGAUUUUUUCUGGAAGCAAUUUACUCUUAACAAAGUAAUUUUGAUUAGAAACUUCACUUGUCUGAUUGUUUUAUAUUGGAGCAAUACGAUUAAAAAGGAUUAUGAUCAAAGAAAUGUUGGAAUUGCUAAAGAUCAUUGAAAAGUAACAGAAGGCAUGUUAGAGCUGCUUCUUCAUAUGAUUAUGCAACCAAGAUAGUGGGGGCAAUGAAAGGAAAUUUACUAUUUACACCAAAGGUGUCCAAUUUUAGUUGUAUUAUGGUUUUGAGAAAACAUUGUCUUAAUUUUAGUUGUAUUAUGGUUUUGAGUAGUAACCAUGACUUUAGGUGUUAUAUAGUAACCAGUACAUGUUGCUACUUUUAGUACCCAUAGAAAGGAGGUACUCUGUUAUGCAAUCAUGUAAUACUACAAACAAUUGAAUGAAGGAGUUCAUAUAUUUGCCUCA